rnacentral:rRNA from 1 species
GAUGAACGCUGGCUACAGGCUUAACACAUGCCAGUCGAGGGGAAACGACGGGGAAGCUUGCUUCCCCGGGCGUCGACCGGCGCACGGGUGAGUAACGCGUAUCCAACCUGCCUCUGACUGAGGGAUAACCCGUCGAAAGUCGGCCUAAUACCUCAUGGCAUCGUCUGCGGGCAUCCAACGACGAUUAAAGAUUUCAUCGGUCAGGGAUGGGGAUGCGUCUGAUUAGCUUGUUGGCGGGGUAACGGCCCACCAAGGCUACGAUCAGUAGGGGUUCUGAGAGGAAGGUCCCCCACAUUGGAACUGAGACACGGUCCAAACUCCUACGGGAGGCAGCAGUGAGGAAUAUUGGUCAAUGGGCGGGAGCCUGAACCAGCCAAGUAGCGUGCAGGAUGACGGCCCUAUGGGUUGUAAACUGCUUUUAGGCGGGGAUAAAGUGAGGGACGUGUCCUUCAUUGCAGGUACCGCAUGAAUAAGGACCGGCUAAUUCCGUG